GCAACAGGAAAAACAACAGAAUCCUAGUUAAUAGUUAAUAUUACAGUAUUAAAGGGAUAGUCUGCAGAUUUGUUGUUCUACUUCAUCCAGUGACAUGAAAGUGACGUCGUCGUAGACGCGGGAGAACUACAGUGCCGCUCAAAAACUCGGAUAUUCAGCCGUAGACAAGCAGGACGAUUUUGGGACGGUUGAGUUUCCGAUUGUCGGACCAGUGGAAAGACUAACCAAGAUGGCUGUGGAUGCUGUAAAGCGCCCAGGGGAGCAACGUGGGGAUCAGUGUCUCACCCAAGGACACUUCGACAUGCAGACCUUGCGGUCAAAGGAAGACCAUUCUUCCCACUGAGCUACAGCUGCUUCAAGACAGAACAUCACGACAUCAUCUUGCCGGCACGAUGCAGUGACUGUCAGCAUCGUCUAACUAAGGU